rnacentral:ncRNA from 3 species
GGCCGGAUAAGGCGUUUACGCCGCAUCCGGCAAUGGUGCUCAACGCCUGAUGCGACGCUGGCGCGUCUUAUCAUGCC